AAUUAAAUUUAUUAAUAUAUUUUUUUUUUUUUUUAUUUUUUAUAAAAAUAAUUUAUUUAUUUAAUGUUUUAGUAUUUAGUAAAAAUUAAUUUUUAGAUUUAUAGUUUAAUAGUAUUGUAAAAGAAAUUGUUAAAUUUUAUAAAGAAUUUUAUAGUACCUUUUGUAUCAGGGUUGAUUAAAAUUUUUAAUUUUUUUUUAAUUUCUCAAAAUUUAUAGAGUUAAUUUUAUUAUUAAUUUAUUGUGGUAAAAAUAUUUAUAAAAUAAUAUUAGUUUUGAAAUUUAAUUCGUUAUAUUAUAUUUAGUUAUUUAAGAUUUAAAUUUAAUUUAAAAUUUUAAAAGUUGUAUUAAUUUUAUUGAUUAAUAUUUUAAAUUUAAAUUAUUUUAGGGAUAAGCUUGAAAUUUUAAUAUAAUAAUUUAUUUAUUUUAAUAAUUUAUAGGAAUAGAAAUUUUUAUUUAAGUUUGUAAAAAUUUAUUAUUUAUUUAAUUUUAAUUUAUUAUAUUUAUAUUUAUUUUUAAUAUUAAAUUUUAUUAAUUAAUAUUUAAUUAAUAGUAAUAAUGAUUAAAUUAGUAUAAUAUAUAAAUUUAUAAAUUAUGAAUUCGGCAAAAAUUAUUUUCAUCUGUUUAACAAAAACAUUGUAUUAAGUUUAAUUUAAUAUAGGAUCUGCUCAAUGAUUUAUUAAAUAGCUGCAGUAUUUUGACUGUGCAAAGGUAGCAUAAUAAUUAGUCUUUUAAUUGAGGACUUGAAUGAAAGAUUUGAUGAGAAAUAGACUUUAUUAUUUAUAAAAUUAAAAUUUUAUUUUUAAGUAAAAAAGCUUAAAUUAUUUAAAGGGACGAUAAGACCCUAUAAAACUUUAUAAAUUUUGAUUUUAAUUUUUUUGGAUUUAUAAAUAUUUUAUAAUUAAAAUUUAUUUUAUUGGGGUGAUAAAAAAAAUUAUUAAACUUUUUUUAAAAUUUAACAUUAUUUAAUGAUUAGUUGAAUUAAAAUUUUUAAUUAAAGGAAAAAGUUACUUUAGGGAUAACAGCGUAAUUAAUUUUUUAAGUUCAAAUUUAAAAAUUAGUUUGCGACCUCGAUGUUGAAUUAAGAUUAAUCUUAGGUGCAAAAUUUUAAGUAUUAGGUCUGUUCGACCUUUAAAUUCUUACAUGAUUUGAGUUCAAACCGGUGUAAGCCAGGUUGGUUUCUAUCUUUUAUUAAUUGAAUUAUUUUAGUACGAAAGGAUUGAAUAAUUAAAUUAAAUUUUAUAUAAUGAAUUAAAAUAAUUUA
rnacentral:rRNA from 1 species